CAAUUUUUACGUUCCAUUGAAAUUACAUAAUUUUUUUCAUCAAUUAUGCAUCUGAUAUGAUAAUAUCUAUCAUAUCAUGAGUUGAUUUUUUAUUCAUUUUUCAUGCUAACUCUAUGGCAAAAACAAUGCAUUCAUUUUGCCGCCUAAAAUUCUUAAGUCCAACUAAUGAGCAACUGCGCAUAGUCAAGCAGUGGUAGUGCAGCUAACUAUUUUCAAUGCAAAUGCUGCGCGCUUCUAUUCCCCAUACAAAUUUGAAUUUGAUCGUUGGAAAAAUCGAACAUUAAAAUUCAACGGUCGUCGAAGACGGUUGUCCUCACUCAACUUUGCGCUAUUUUUCGUGAUCAUGUCGUGAUAUUUUUUUCAUUUUUUUUCUAUUUUAAUCGUGGAUUUUUGUACUAAAUUUUGGAACAAAGACUUUAAUCGAUUCAAGAUUAUCGUUGUUCAUAGUUAUUGUGGUCUAAGAUCAAAAAUUGCCCCCGAAAUCGAUGAAGAUCGUUUGGUUCGGUCAUGUAAUCAUGAUUCAAGCUGGCUAAAAAAUUCCAUUUUUGAUGACUUUCAAAUUUUUCUUUUUCAGAAUCCAUUAUAUCUAAUGUAUGAUAAUUGGAAUCCAGAUUAAUAUAUGAAAGCUUGGUCAAUGAGCAUAAAAUUUUCAUUGAUGAUCAAUGAUCAUCAUUAGACAUAUAAUUGGUGCCGUCUUUAUAAAAACGAUCAUGGUAAUGAUGCCGAACAUUACAAAUUUAUUGGUGGAUAUCUGGUCACUAACAUGGUACGAUGUCUAAUGAAACUUUCAGGCCUGAAUUGGAUUGGAUUGUUGGAGCAACUUAUUCGGUUUGUUCCUGAAAUUUUACAAUCAUCAAAUUGAAAUUCGAUUGAUGAUUAUGUUCGAGAUCAAUUCGGCGGUUCCAUUGUUCAUCAGCAUUCAAUUCAAGAAUAGUUUGGCCAUGUUCAACACAUUAUAACAGGUUAGGCUAGGGUUAGAUUAGGAACAUGAUCUGAGCUAUUUCCUAUUGAAUUUGAUGCUGAUUGAAUCUUUGGAAUCAAUGAAGCGAUCGAAAACAUAAUUAUAAGUCGAAGAUUCAUUGGAUGGAACACAUACUUGAAAGUGAUCAUGGAUCGCCGGCGAACAAUUGGGAAAUUGAAUCUCGAACCACGGAUAGAAUUUGGACAUUGUCUUGUAACAUGGACCGCGAAUAUUGGAUCUAUUUCAAAUGAUCAUGGAUCGCCGGCGAACAAUUGGGAAAUUGAAUCUCGAACCACGGAUAGAAUUUGGACAUUGUCUUGUAACAUGGACCGCGAAUAUUGGAUCUAUUUCAAAUGAUCA